AGAGUUUGAUCCUGGCUCAGGAUGAACGCUAGCGGAGGCUUAAUACAUGCAAGUCGAGCGGCAAGGUCUUCGGACCCUAGAGCGGCGGCACGGGGUGAGUAACGCGUACGCAAUCUGCCCUUCAGUGAGGAAUAGCCCUGGGAAACUGGGAUUAAUACCUCAUAAUAUUAAUUGUCUGCAUGGAUGAUUAAUUAAAGUUCUGGCGCUGAAGGAUGAGUGUGCGUCUGAUUAGCUAGUUGGUAGGGUAACGGCCUACCAAGGCGACGAUCAGUAGGGGGGCGUGAGAGCGUGACCCCCCACACGGGUACUGAGACACGGACCCGACUCCUACGGGAGGCAGCAGUAAGGAAUAUUGGGCAAUGGAGGCAACUCUGACCCAGCCAUCCCGCGUGAAGGAUUAAGGCCCUAUGGGUUGUAAACUUCUUUUGUUUGGGAAGAAAUCUGGACAUUUAUGUGCAGUUGACGGUACCUUACGAAUAAGCACCGGCUAACUCCGUG
rnacentral:rRNA from 1 species